GCUGGAAUCGCUAGUAAUCGCGAAUCAGAAUGUCGCGGUGAAUACGUUCCCGGGUCUUGUACACACCGCCCGUCACACCAUGGGAGUCGGAUAUGCCCGAAGUCAGUGACCCAACCAUAUGGAGGGAGCUGCCGAAGGUGGAGCCGAUAACUGGGGUGAAGUCGUAACAAGGUACC
rnacentral:rRNA from 1 species